rnacentral:tRNA from 1 species
GCCAUCUUAGCUCAGUUGGUAGAGCAAUUGAUUCGUAAUCAAUAGGUCGUCGGUUCGAUUCCGAUAGAUGGCU